CUCGUGACCGGUCUACACCGGGAUGUUCAUAACCCUUUGUUGUCCGACUCUGUUGCCUCCGGGGCGACCCUGCCUUCGGGCGGGGGCUCCGGGUGGACACUUCAAACUCUUGCGUAACUUUGCAGUCUGAGUAAACUUAAUUAAUAAAUUAAAACUUUUAACAACGGAUCUCUUGGUUCUGGCAUCGAUGAAGAACGCAGCGAAAUGCGAUAAGUAAUGUGAAUUGCAGAAUUCAGUGAAUCAUCGAAUCUUUGAACGCACAUUGCGCCCCCUGGUAUUCCGGGGGGCAUGCCUGUUCGAGCGUCAUUUCACCACUCAAGCCUCGCUUGGUAUUGGGCAACGCGGUCCGCCGCGUGCCUCAAAUCGACCGGCUGGGUCUUCUGUCCCCUAAGCGUUGUGGAAACUAUUCGCUAAAGGGUGUUCGGGAGGCUACGCCGUAAAACAACCCCAUUUCUAAGGUUGACCUCGGAUCAGGUAGGGAUACCCGCUGAACUUAAGCAUAUAUAAACCCGGAAGGAAA
rnacentral:rRNA from 1 species